UACGGAGGGUGCAAGCGUUAUCCGGAUUUAUUGGGUUUAAAGGGUGCGUAGGCGGUGAAAUAAGUCAGUGGUGAAAUCUCUCGGCUCAACUGAGAAACUGCCAUUGAUACUGUCGUUCUUGAGUACACUUGGAGUGGGCGGAAUGUGUCAUGUAGCGGUGAAAUGCUUAGAUAUGACACAGAACACCGAUCGCGAAGGCAGCUCACUAAGUUGUAACUGACGCUCAGGCACGAAAGCGUGGGGAUCAAACAGGAUUAGAUACCCUGGUAGUCCACGCCGUAAACGAUGAUCACUCGAUGUUGGCGAUAUACUGUCAGCGUCUAAGCGAAAGCAUUAAGUGAUCCACCUGGGGAGUACGAUCGCAAGAUUG
rnacentral:rRNA from 1 species